ACUUACCAUAAGGUAGGUAUCGCAUGAUGAAUACAUAGUCAUGCGAAGCGAACGAGGGGAAGUGAAACAUCUCAGUCACGAUAAGGGGAGCGAACGGGGAACAGCCCAAACCGGUGUUGUUACGGCAACAUCGGGGUUGUAGGACUGCUAAAAUAAUAUUAAGCUAAAUGGAAUCCUUUGGGAAGAGGAACCAUAGGGGGUGAUAGUCCCGUACAUGUAAACUUGAUAUUAGGGGCAGUAUCCUGAGUAGCGCGGGGUCGGAGAAGCCUUGCGUGAAUCUGCCAGCACCAUCUGGUAAGGCUAAAUACUCCUGAGAGACCGAUAGUGAACUAGUACUGCGAAGGAAAGGUGAAAAGUAUCCCGAACAGGGAGGUGAAAAGAACCUGAAAUCGUACGCCUACAAGCGGUCGGAGCCGGUAUAUCCGGUGACGGCGUGCCUUUUGCAUAAUGAGCCUACGAGUUACUCCUCACUGGCAAGGUUAAUUUCCUUAAGGAAAGUAGCCGAAGCGAAAGCGAGUCUUAACAGGGCGCAUAGUCAGUGGGGGUAGACGCGAAACUUUGUGAUCUACCCUUGGCCAGGAUGAAGUUCAGGUAACACUGAAUGGAGGUCCGAACCGGUAAACGUUGAAAAGUUUUCGGAUGAGCUGAGGGUAGGGGUGAAAGGCCUAUCAAACUGAGAGAUAGCUCGUACUCCCCGAAAUGUUUUUAGGAACAGCGUCGAUGGUACAAUAAUAGAGGUAGAGCUACUAAUUGGGUAAGGGGAUGUCAAAGUCUACCGAACUCAAAUAAACUCCGAAUGCUAUUAUUUAAUUAAUCGGCAGUGAGGGCAUGGGUGCUAAGGUCCGUGCCCGAGAGGGAAACAACCCAGACUAACAGCUAAGGUCCCAAAGUAUACACUAAGUUGAUCAAAUGUGGUCCAGUCGCAUAGACAGCCAGGAUGUUUGCUUGGAAGCAGCAAUUCAUUUAAAGAGUGCGUAACAGCUCACUGGUCGAGCGACAGGGCAUAAACAAUAAACGGGCAUAAGUGUAUCACCGAAGCUCUAGAUUCGAUGUAAAUCGAAUGGUAGGGGAGCAUUCCAGCAGCAGCGAAGGGGAAUCGUAAGAUCCACUGGAGCAGCUGGAAAAGCAAAUGUAGGCAUAAGUAACGAUAAUGGAGGUGAAAAACCUCCACUCCGUAAAUCUAAGGUUUCCUGAUCAAUGAUAAUCAGAUCAGGGUUAGUCGGGACCUAAGGCGAACCGUUUCAGGGAAGUCGAUGGACAACAGGUUAAUAUUCCUGUACCGGCCGAGAGGGACGGAUAGAUGUAGUCAGUACGUACAGACGGAUGUACGUUGAGCCUACUCCUCGGAGGAAGCGAACUGGUGAGUUCUAUCCCUAGAAAAGCUCCGGCAUUAGCCCGUACCGUAAACCGACACAGGUGGAUGAGGAGAGUAUCCUAAGGAGCUCGAGUGAGUCAUGGUUAAGGAAUUAGGCAAAUUUACCCUGUAACUUCGGGAGAAGGGGUGCCUCAGCAAUGAGGCCGCAGUGAAUAGGCCCAGGCGACUGUUUAUCAAAAACACAAGGCUCUGCUAAGUCGAAAGAUGAUGUAUAGGGUCUGACACCUGCCCGGUGCUGGAAGGUUAAGAGGGGAUGUCAGCGCAAGCGAAGCAUUGAAUCGAAGCCCCAGUAAACGGCGGCCGUAACUAUAACGGUCCUAAGGUAGCGAAAUUCCUUGUCGGGUAAGUUCCGACCUGCACGAAUGGUGUAACGAUCUGGGCACUGUCUCAACCAUGAGCUCGGUGAAAUUGUAGUCUCGGUGAAGAUGCCGAGUACCCGCAACGGGACGGAAAGACCCCAUGCACCUUUACUAUAGCUUUACAUUGAGUUUGGGUAAAUAAUGUGUAGGAUAGGCGGGAGACUUUGAAGCGGUAUCGCUAGAUAUCGUGGAGUCAACGGUGAAAUACCGCCCUUUAUUUAUUUGAAUUCUAAUCCCGCUAAGCGGGAGACAUUGUAUGGUGGGUAGUUUGACUGGGGUGGUCGCCUCCAAAAAAGUAUCGGAGGCUUUCAAAGGUGUUCUCAGCACGCUUGGUAACCGUGCGUAGAGUGCAAUAGCAUAAGAACGCUUGACUGUGAGGCCUACAAGCCGAGCAGGUACGAAAGUAGGAUAUAGUGAUCCGGUGGUUCCGUAUGGAAGGGCCGUCGCUCAUAGGAUAAAAGGUACGCUGGGGAUAACAGGCUGAUCUCCCCCAAGAGCUCAUAUCGACGGGGAGGUUUGGCACCUCGAUGUCGGCUCAUCACAUCCUGGAGCUAUCGUGACUGGGAAAC
rnacentral:rRNA from 1 species